rnacentral:rRNA from 1 species
AACGAACGCUAUCGGUAUGCUUAACACAUGCAAGUCGGACGGACUAAUUAGGGCUUGCUCCAAUUAGUUAGUGGCAGACGGGUGAGUAACACGUGGGAAUCUGCCCAUCAGUACGGAAUAACUUUUAGAAAUAAAAGCUAAUACCGUAUAUUCUCUACAGAGGAAAGAUUUAUCGCUGAUGGAUGAGCCCGCGUCAGAUUAGGUAGUUGGUGAGGUAACGGCUCACCAAGCCGACGAUCUGUAGCUGGUCUGAGAGGAUGAUCAGCCACACUGGGACUGAGACACGGCCCAGACUCCUACGGGAGGCAGCAGUGGGGAAUAUUGGACAAUGGGCGAAAGCCUGAUCCAGCAAUACCGAGCGAGUGAUAAAGGCCCUAGGGUUGUAAAGCUCUUUUAGCAAGGAAGAUAAUGACGUUACUUGCAGAAAAAGCCCCGGCUAACUCCGUG